UACGUAGGGUGCAAGCGUUGUCCGGAAUUACUGGGCGUAAAGCGUGCGCAGGCGGUUGUGCAAGACAGAUGUGAAAUCCCCGGGCUUAACCUGGGAAUUGCAUUUGUGACUGCACGGCUAGAGUGUGUCAGAGGGGGGUAGAAUUCCACGUGUAGCAGUGAAAUGCGUAGAUAUGUGGAGGAGUACCGAUGGCGAAGGCAGCCCCCUGGGAUAACACUGACGCUCAUGCACGAAAGCGUGGGGAGCAAACAGG
rnacentral:rRNA from 1 species